UACGAAGGGGCUAGCGUUGCUCGGAAUCACUGGGCGUAAAGGGUGCGUAGGCGGGUUUUAAGUCAGGGUGAAAUCCUGGAGCUCAACUCCAGAACUGCCUUUGAUACUGAAGAUCUUGAGUCCGGGAGAGGUGAGUGGAACUGCGAGUGUAGAGGUGAAAUUCGUAGAUAUUCGCAAGAACACCAGUGGCGAAGGCGGCUCACUGGCCCGGUACUGACGCUGAGGCACGAAAGCGUGGGGAGCAAACAGG
rnacentral:rRNA from 1 species